rnacentral:rRNA from 1 species
UAGGGAAUCUUCCACAAUGGGCGAAAGCCUGAUGGAGCAACGUCGCGUGUGUGAUGAAGGGUUUCGGCUCGUAAAACACUGUUGUAAGAGAAGAAUGACAUUGAGAGUAACUGUUCAAUGUGUGACGGUAUCUUACCAGAAAGGAACGGCUAAAUACGCGCCAG